rnacentral:rRNA from 1 species
AUUGAACGCUGGCGGCAGGCCUAACACAUGCAAGUCGAGCGCCGUAGCAAUACGGAGCGGCAGACGGGAGAGUAACACGUGGGAACGUACCCUUUGGUUCGGAACAACCCAGGGAAACUUGGGCUAAUACCGGAUAAGCCCUCACGGGGAAAGAUUCAUCGCCGAAGGAUCGGCCCGCGUCUGAUUAGCUAGUUGGUGGGGUAAUGGCCCACCAAGGCGACGAUCAGUAGCUGGUCUGAGAGGAUGAUCAGCCUCACUGGGACUGAGACACGGCCCAGACUCCUACGGGAGGCAGCAGUGGGGAAUAUUGGACAAUGGGCGCAAGCCUGAUCCAGCCAUGCCGCGUGGGUGAUGAAGGCCCUAGGGUUGUAAAGCCCUUUCGGCGGGGAAGAUAAUGACGGUACCCGCAGAAGAAGCCCCGGCUAACUUCGUGCCAGCAGCCGCCGUAACAC